AAAACAACAACCUGCACACACACACUGGCCCUUUCUGGAUAAGAUUGGACACCCCUGCCUUAAUAUCAGCAACCAAUUCAGCCCUAAGAAACCAGAUGAGAAGAAGGUGGUUGGGCUAUAGCGGGGUCUUGACCCGACCCGGUCGCUGGGAACACCGUUGUGGCCGUCGAGCGUCCCCGGGGGUUGUGCGGGAGUCGUCUGUGUGAGCUGUGAAAUCGACUUGAUGUUGGAUGCCGAGGUCCUCGUCCACCGCCGGCGAAGACAACUCCAUCUUCUUUAAUUAAAGCGCAUGCCGCAACCUGCUAUUCACUGA